CUUGAACCUGGGUACUCUUCCCUACUCACCGUCUGGCUAUAAAUUUCCAGAAUCUGCAGCCAUUUAUAAUUUUCACUCCUCUUUAUGCUUUUAUUCAAAACCUUCUAAUUUCAGCAGCCUAAUGUUUUUAACCAUUGAGGGGGCAGAUGCAGGGAAAAUGAGAUGGCACAGACUGAAAAGGGUGGGUUGUGGUUUAUUUAAAAAAAAAAAAAAAAGGCAAGAGAGAGAGCUGGGGCUAUGUGGCUAGUAUUUGCAUCUGUUGUUUCUGAUUCGCAGAGCUAGCAAAGGCUGCUUUUGGAGGCAGUCCACAAAGCUGGGCUAUCAGUAGGCAGUUUGCUGUACGCGCACGUUCAAUUAUUAAAAUAGUAGACUUUUUUUUCUGUCUGAUAGCCAUAGCGAGGUCAUGACAUUAAUUUAUCCAGGGUAUUGUGGGUAACUAUACAGAAAAAAAGCAUAAAGGGCACAGAUGCUGGAGCAGCAAAAAAUGGAUGGGUCUGAGCAAAAGGAGAUUAAGAGGCGAUGACCAAUCUAAUCUGAACGGCUUCCCGAAGAGCACUGAGUUUUCUAUGCCAGAUUCUGCUCCAGUGGCUAGGACCUUUAUGGCUGCUGUUUCUUUUGCUCUGGGCUCUGAUGGAGGAAAAAAAAAAAAAAAAAAAAGCCACGGUGGAUCCCGUCCCUAAAGUAGAAAUUUUCUUUUUCAUUCUGCAAACAAGCCUAAAGAUCGGAGGAGAAUGAAUGCGAAAGUAAUUCAGGAUUGUGGUCGUGCCAUUAAAAGUGUUCGGCUUCAGAACGAAAUUAUUCGAGAAACCAGAGCAUUUCUUCUUACUGUAUCGACAGUAUUUGAAAGUUAUGUGUGCUUUAAGUAAUCUGGUUCAAGUGACAACAAUCUCUGCAUGUCAAUGUUUUCUACAGCUUAUGGAGUGAAAGCUAGUUUUGCCACUGGAGAGGAAGAAGCUUUUGCUAGCAGUCUGUAGAAGGAUUAAAUGUUGAACGUGGGGAAGAGGCAAAAAAGUGAAUACACGCCCAAAGGUUAUCCUUGCAUCGUGAAUGGGUUUAAAGUACUCUGUAACCCAGGGCCCACCUGAACAGUAGGACUAAAAGUAUAAUGGGGAAAUAUUUCAAUUAGAAACCCCUUAACAAGCAUUUAAUCCUUUUUUCAGGCAUUAAGGGAAAGAGAAUAAAAUUGUUACUGUACAAAUCUGCUGGAAGCA
rnacentral:lncRNA from 1 species